UACGUAGGGGGCAAGCGUUGUCCGGAUUUAUUGGGCGUAAAGAGCGUGUAGGCGGCUUUGCAAGUCCGUUGUGAAAACUCGAGGCUCAACCUCGAGACGCCGGUGGAAACUGCAAAGCUAGAGUCCGGAAGAGGAGAGUGGAAUUCCUGGUGUAGCAGUGAAAUGCGCAGAUAUCAGGAAGAACACCCGUGGCGAAGGCGGCUCUCUGGGCCGAUACUGACGCUGAGGAGCGAAAGCGUGGGGAGCGAACAGG
rnacentral:rRNA from 1 species